CAGCCAAGCGUUCGUAAGUGACGUGCUGUUUGAUCACUAAGGUGCGCAUCGUCCAUCUCUGUUCAAAGUCAGAGUUGUGCAAGCGCUGGAUUUUAACACAGUGAUAGAGAAGUUGAGCUGGGUCAAGACCGUCAGCCCCACAGUAUAAUAUUGGCAUACUGUCGACUUCGUAUUGCGGGAGUGAUCUUGCUUAAUACUAGUGGAUCAGGUGGUUAUACUAUUUGGUUCAUAGACUGGAUAGACGCAUCAAUGGUAGGAAGCUCCCAUCUGAGAGAUUGUUUUUGAAUUUUUUUAAGUUAGAAUCUUGCCUUGUCUAGGUGAAAAUUUAGUAAUGCCAGGUCAGGGAGGCUUCUCUAUCUAGGGCCAACGCGAAAGAGUAUGCACUAUGUAUAAAAACGCAACUCAACGAAAUUCUCAAGUAUCCGGAAAAUCCGAAACGGAGGUCGCAUACGGGAAGUAAAUGCCCGACAGUGUUCGAAUUCUCUGGCCUAAUUCGGGCCGGAUGGCUAUUCAAUAAUGAACCGUGGGCCGGGCUGGAAUGGUUUUUAGGGCCAUUUUUGCGUUUUUGGCAUUUUUUCCCGGCCCGCGGCACUUUAACGAAUAGCCAUCCGGCCAGUAGUAGGUCACGGGCAUAGAACUCGUCGAGAUAUACAUUUUGGUAUCUUUUUCAGUUCAUAAUAUUCAUUUUGACGCGAGUUACGCGCCGGU
rnacentral:ncRNA from 1 species